GUUUCUGAUGGUCAAUUUACUGCUUAUAGAAGUUAUGAUGAAAGGGUCAUGGCCCCUGAUGAACUUUUGGUGAAUGUAUAUUCUGUAAUUGUUUCAUUGCAUUCAGUGAUUUGAUAUUCACAUGAUAAUCAAUGUGUUGCACAAUUGGCUAUUUGAAAUUUUUUUAUUUGCUUUUUAAAAAGUAGAGAACUAAAUCCAUUCAAUGAGUUAUAUAUAUGGUUAUAAAAAUAUUAACUAUCAGUUCUUGAUUUUGGCUGCAUAAUGUGCUAUAUCUGCAAUCUGAUCCAAACAUAGAGAGCCUAAAGGCAAAACUCAGAGGAAAUCUGUGAAGAAAAAUCAGUUCAUGUGCAGCUACAAGAACUUGAGAAAGAGUAGAGUGAUUGGGAGUCUUGUUGCUGCUAUACAAAAAUUACAUGAGGUCAAAGUAGAUAGGAUGCUUCUAUGCAAGUUUCAAAUUAAGAAUCAAUUGUCAGCUGUUUUUAUUUCACCUCACCCAGUUUCCAGUGGGCUACAUUUGGAUUUCGGGGGUUUUGUAAGUGCUUGAUAAAAUAAUCCUAGGAUUUUAUCUUCAGUUUAUUACUAUUUAGCUUUAGAUGAUCAUGCAAUGUAACAACUGAGAUUUGUUUUUGAGUUAGAAAAGAGUUGAUGUUGUGUAAAACACAAAACACAAAACUGAAACUUUUGAAAGGGGUAAAACCCAAAAUUGAUUCAGUCAUCAGUAAUCAAGAUUGUUCUAAUAAAAUGAGGUUAUUAUUGAGUAUUAGACUUCCGAUAAUUAUGUGAUAGAUGUACACAUUUAUAGCAAAUAUUGUUGUCAUAUUUAGAUAGGCAUAUUGUAUCUCUAUAUAUUAUUUUGGAUGGUGAAAUAUCAAUCAACGAUUCUUUGCCUACUUUCAUUGAGCUUUGAUAAAUCAACUUUUGGUUUAAAAAAGAGGUGAAUCUGAUAUUGAGGGAUGUGUUGAUAAAUCUAAUGGAAAUCUUGAAGUGGGUAUGAAUGAAACCCAAAUGUUGAUGAUAUAGGGUUGUUUUGGGAUCAGAGGUGUUGGAUUUGCUCAAUGAUUCAGUUGUUUCUUGUUCAAAAGAAGGAGGAAACAAGUUGAUGUCUGUAAAUUUGGGUGAAACGGGUCCUAGGAACGUAUACUUGAAAGCGGAUCAGAAAUUUUAGAAUUUGGAACAUUUGCUGAUUAUACAACAGUUGUCAAUGGUGGUUAUGGUGAGUAUAUUUGUAUUUUUUAAUAAAUUGCUAUAUUAUAUGUAAUGGGUGAUUAUAGAGCUUACAUACAUUGUUUCUUGUAGAACCUUAACAUAGUAUUUAUACAAAAAUAUUUUCAGUUGGAUCAAA